rnacentral:rRNA from 1 species
UUUAAACAUGAGAGUUUGAUCUUGGCUCAGGACGAACGCUGGCGGCAUGCCUAAUACAUGCAAGUCGAACGAUGAUAUCACUGCUUACAGUGAUUGAUUAGUGGCGAACGGGUGAGUAACACGUGAGGAACUUGCCCAUGAGCGGGGGACAACAUUCGGAAACGGAUGCUAAUACCCCAUAGGUGGAUUGGUCGCAUGACGAAUUCAUUAAAGGUGGCUUCGCUACCACUCAUGGAUAGCCUCGCGGCGUAUUAGCUAGUUGGUAAGGUAAUGGCUUACCAAGGCAGUGAUACGUAGCCGACUUGAGAGGGUGAUCGGCCACACUGGGACUGAGACACGGCCCAGACUCCUACGGGAGG